rnacentral:rRNA from 1 species
GUGUCAGCAGCCGCGGUAAUACGUAGGUGGCAAGCGUUGUCCGGAUUUACUGGGCGUAAAGGGCGUGCAGGCGGUCUGUUAAGUGCAGGGUGAAAGCUCCCGGCUCAACUGGGAGAGGUCCUUGCAUACUGGCGGACUUGAGGGGGGUAGAGGAAAGUGGAAUUCCCGGUGUAGUGGUGAUAUGCGUAGAUAUCGGGAGGAACACCUGUGGCGAAGGCGGCUUUCUGGGCCCUACCUGACGCUGAGACGCGAAAGCGUGGGGAGCGAACCGGAUUAGAUACCCGUGUAGUCC